rnacentral:lncRNA from 1 species
GGAAAUUGGAAGAACUGAUAUUUUGUGGCUUGUGAUUUUGUCCCUUACUGAUAUUCACCCUCAAGUCUCCCACUGUUACUGGAGAUUCUGCAGGAACUAAACUAUAGUGUCUCUAUGAGAACACUGUAACCACAAAGAUAUAUGCAGCAAAGCUGUCAAUACUUACCUGGUGUUGUAUUUAUCCAGAGAGAAGCUGUUUGUUAGUAUUUGGCCCUGACACAGUGAUAUUAUCCAAGAAACUGAAAACUAUGCCUCAGUUGACUGAAGGAACAUGUUCCCCCAGUGUUUCUCAGACCAGAUUAUCUUAAAAGGACUAGAUGCCUUUGCCACAAGAGCCUAACCAAAAAGGUGCACUGAAGCCUCUUCUUUAGAGCUGUGGAUGUAAG